rnacentral:lncRNA from 1 species
AGACUUUAAAACGAAUCACAAUAAAUAAUAUAUAUGUUUGACUUGUAUGAAAAGCCUAUUUUGAUAUGUACGAAUAUGGAUUUAUAUGUCUCUGCUCAUGUGUUUAUGUGAUGUGUUGUUAUGUAAUGGGCGUGAUUAUGUACAUGGGCAUAUAUAUGUGUGAUGGUUCAUUGGCAUGAGCACGAAAAUGCAUUGAGUUUUCUAUGAAUGAGAAAGUGGAUUUUAGCAAAUUGAAUUUAUGUUUUAUGAGAUUUUGCAUUGGGGGCCACCUCUUGAAGUUGUGUGGGGGCCACCUCUUGAGACUAUGCAGGGGCCACCUCUUGAGGGCUAGAGUCCCGCAAAGUGCCACGCAUGGUGCAAAGUGCCACGCACAACACAAAGUGCCACAUUGUAGGAUACGUAUUUCAUCGAAAGAAAAUGAGAAAGUUUGAAAGCGACAGAAAGAGAUUUUUAUGAAUUAAUUUUACAGUAUUUCUAAAAGAUCAUGGCAUAUCAUCCAUUGCAUUAUGUAUAAGUAUGUAUGUAUUUUCUAUAAGAAAAACUAGUUUGCUUACUGAGUUUUGUACUCAUUAUAGUUUAUUGUGAUUCAGUUUCCAGAAGUCAGGAUUGAUUCGUGAUGAGUGACAAGUUGAAGAUGGUAGAUGGUUUCGCUAAAUUUUUUAGUUAUUCCGCUGGCUUUUGUAUUUGAUGCUCGAAUUUUAUUGUUUGUAAAGAGUUAUUUAAAUCAUAUGUGAGUUGUGGACAUAUUUGCCCUUGGAUUUCGGACUGGGGUGUUAUAUUUCGAGGGGCCUCCGUGUGCCAAAAAUAGGCCGCGGGAAAUGCCGCGCCAAAAAUAUCCGCCCGAAGGCCCGCGCCAAGUUCGUCCAGCGGAAAAAGGCCACAAAAACGGGUGGGCUAUAGCCUUGGGGGGUGGGGCUGGCCAACUUCGUCCGCCGGAAUCGGAAUGCCGCGAGACUUUGCUAGGGGCUUCCAUUUGCCAAAAAUAGGCCGCAGACAAAGCCGCGCCCAAAAAUAACCGCCCGAAGGCCGGGGCGCGAAGCUCGUCCAGCGGAAAAAGGCCACAAAAACGGGUGGGCUAUAGCCUUGGGGGUGGGGCUGGCCAACUUCGUCCGCCGGACUCGGAAUGCCGCGAGACUUUGCGAGGGGCCUCCGUGUGCCAAAAAUAGGCCGCGGGCAAAGCCGCGCCCAAAAAUAACCACCCGAAGGCCGGGGCGCCAAGUUCGUCCACCGGAAAAAGGCCACAAAAACGGGUGGGCUAUAGCCUUGGGGGGUGGGGCUGGCCAACUUCGUCCGCCGGACUCGGAAUGCCGCGAGACUUUACGAGGGGCCUCCGUGUGCCAAAAAUAGGCCGCGGGCAAAGCUGCGCCCAAAAAUAACUGCCCGUAGGCUGGGGCGCCAAGUUCGUCCAGCGGAAAAAGGCCACAAAAACGGGUGGGCUAUAGCCUUGGGGGGUGGGGCUGGCCAACUUCGUCCGCUGGACUCGGAAUGCCGCGAGACUUUGCCAGGGGCCUCUGUGUGCCAAAAAUAGGCCGCGGACAAAGCCACGCCCAAAAAUAACCGGCCGAAGGCCGGGGCGCCAAGUUCGUCCAGCGGAAAAAGGUCACAAAAACGGGUGGGCUAUAACCUUGGGGGGUUGGGCUGGCCAACUUCGUCCGCCGAACUCGGAAUGCCGCGAGACUUUGCGAGGGGCCUCCGUGUACCAAAAAUAGGCCGCGGACAAAGCCGCGCCAAAAAUAACCGCCCGAAGGCCGGGGCGCCAAGUUCGUCCAUCGGAAAAAGGCCACAAAAACGGGUGGGCUAGCCUUGGGGGGUGGGGCUGGCCAACUUCGUCCGCCGGACUCGGAAUGCGGCAAGACUUCUUGAGGGGCCUCCAUGUGCCAAAAAUAGGCCACGCCCAAAAAUAACCGUCCGAAGGCCGGGGCGCCAAGUUCGUCCAGCGGAAAAAGGCCACAAAAACGGGUGGGCUAUAGCCAUGGGGGGUGGGGCUGGCCAACUUCGUCCGCCGGACUUGGAAAGCCGCGAGACUUUGCGAGGGGCCUCCGUGUGCCAAAAAUAGGCCGCGGGCAAAGCUGCGCCCAAAAAUAACCCCCGAUGGGCAGGGCGCCAAGUUCGUCCAGCAGAAAAAGGCCACAAAAACGGGUGGGCUAUAGCCUUGGGGGGUGGGGCUGGCCAACUUCGUCCGCCGGACUCGGAAUGCCGUGAGACUUUGCGAGGGGCCUCUGUGUGCAAAAAAUAAGCCGCGGACAAAGCCGCGCCCAAAAAUAACCGCCCGAAGGCCGGGGCGCCAAGUUCGUCCAGCGGAAAAAGGCCACAAAAACGGGUGGGCUACAGCCUUGGGGGGUGGGGCUGGCCAACUUCGUCCGCCGGACUCGGAAAGCGGCAAGACUUUGCGAGGGGCCUCCGUGUGCCAAAAAUAGGCCGCGCCCAAAAAUAACCGCCCGAAGGCCGGGGCGCCAAGUUCGUCCAGCGGAAAAAGGUCACAAAAACGGGUGGGCUAUAGCCUUGGGGGGUGGGGCUGGCCAACUUCGUCCGCCGGACUCGGAAUACUGCGAGACCUUGCGAGGGGCCUCCGCGGGCAAAGCCGCGCCCAAAAAUAACCGCCCGAAGGCCGGGGCGCCAAGUUCGUCCAGCGGAAAAAGGCCACAAAAACGGGUGGGCUAUAGCCUUGGGGGGUGGGGCUGGCCAACUUCGUCCGCCGGGCUCGGAAUGCCGCGAGACUUUUCGUGUAAUACCCCAAAUCUCCUAAGGGUAUUUAAGUCUUUUUAAUUUUUAGUGAUCCUUUUUACCCUAAUAUAAAUAGAACAAGAUGUAUUUUUCAUUAUAAGAGAGAGAAAAAGAGGGAUCGGUUGAAAAAGAGAGAUGGAGAGACAAGAGAGAAAAGAAAAGAAAAAAGAGAAGAAGAAAGUCUUCUUCUUCUUCUUAGUUUUGCCAUAGACAACACAUUGGAUCAAGUUGUUAUUGUUGGGAGAAGUUUUGGAGGUACGUUUUAAUUAUUGGUUUCUAUUAACUUGUUGUGGAGAAGCAUGAUUGCAAUAGAAGUAGAAAUCAAAGAUUUUACAUAAAUAUGCUGACAGUGAAUCAUUACGAAAAUCAUAGUAAUUUGUACAAAUUGAUUUUGAUUCUGUUUUUUGGGUAUGUUAAACUAGACAUUGUCUAAUAUGUUUUGAAACUUGUUUCAAGUUAAUCGGAUAAGAUUUCGAUUAAUUAUGAUUUUUCAAAUUCAAGUCUGAAAACCUGGAAAUUUAUGAUUUCAGUGAAUUACGAAAUUAUUUCUACCAUAUCUAGACUCCUUCAAAAAUUAUGAAAUUUGGACCAAUGAUUUUUAUAUAUGUCUAGUAUGAUUCUGGAAAUUUUCAUGAUUUUAUGAUCAAGAAAUAAAUUGUUUUGUAUUUUUAAAGCAAGUGUGUUCAAAACAGAAAACUGUUUGACAGUAUUGAUGAUGUCUGAAACGUGAAUUAUUUUCAAUCUUUUUGGAAGGAAUUAUGUUAUGAAAUUUUUAUCAAUGAACUUUCAAUGUGUCAGCAUAUGGUCUGUAAAAUUUGAGAUUCUUCCAAUAAGAGAAUAAUUUAUUAAAAAUCGGAGAAAUAUGGACUGUUAUGUUUUGAGGGCCGAUUAUUGAGGACAUUUGAGGUUGAGCUUAAGAGUUAUUUAAAUUGAGAUAUUUGAGGACAUUAGAGUUUAUGAUUGAGAUUUGAUUAUAUCUUAUGAGAAUUUAUUGAUGAUUUUAGGUUGAUGGUAUCAGUACGCAUUUGUUACAUGAGGAUGCCAAGAGGUAAGUAAACUAGACUUUAAAACGAAUCACAAUAAAUAAUAUAUAUGUUUGACUUGUAUGAAAAGCCUAUUUUGAUAUGUACGAAUAUGGAUUUAUAUGUCUCUGCUCAUGUGUUUAUGUGAUGUGUUGUUAUGUAAUGGGCGUGAUUAUGUACAUGGGCAUAUAUAUGUGUGAUGGUUCAUUGGCAUGAGCACGAAAAUGCAUUGAGUUUUCUAUGAAUGAGAAAGUGGAUUUUAGCAAAUUGAAUUUAUGUUUUAUGAGAUUUUGCAUUGGGGGCCACCUCUUGAAGUUGUGUGGGGGCCACCUCUUGAGACUAUGCAGGGGCCACCUCUUGAGGGCUAGAGUCCCGCAAAGUGCCACGCAUGGUGCAAAGUGCCACGCACAACACAAAGUGCCACAUUGUAGGAUACGUAUUUCAUCGAAAGAAAAUGAGAAAGUUUGAAAGCGACAGAAAGAGAUUUUUAUGAAUUAAUUUUACAGUAUUUCUAAAAGAUCAUGGCAUAUCAUCCAUUGCAUUAUGUAUAAGUAUGUAUGUAUUUUCUAUAAGAAAAACUAGUUUGC